CUUCUAUUUAUUUAUGUUGGGGAGUGAAGUGCCAUUUUACUUUUAGUAAAACAUAUUACAUACUAUUCCAACCGUAAUUAAGUCUAGA